rnacentral:rRNA from 1 species
UACGUAGGUGACAAGCGUUGUCCGGAAUUAUUGGGCGUAAAGAGCGUGUAGGCGGUCCGGUAAGUCGGCUGUGAAAGUCCAGGGCUCAACCCUGGGAUGCCGGUGGAUACUGUCGGACUAGAGUACGGAAGAGGCGAGUGGAAUUCCCGGUGUAGCGGUGAAAUGCGCAGAUAUCGGGAGGAACACCAAUUGCGAAGGCAGCUCGCUGGGACGUUACUGACGCUGAGACGCGAAAAGCGUGGGGGAGCGAACAGG